AGUGAGUGGAGCCCAGAGUGGGCCCAGAGCGGACAGGAGGAAUCUGAGGAGCCUUACUGGGGCCUGGGCUAUGGGCAGGGCUGGCAGGGAACAGGCAGGGGGAUGGAGGAGCAGCGGGGCCUGCGGGGGAGGUCCUGGGUGGGCUGGCGGGGCCCUUCGUGCUGGGUUGCCGUGGAGACAGCAACAUCAUACAGGCUGGACCGCAGGACCCCUGCCACCCUUAACUCCUGGGUGAUCACUCUGGGAACAAAAUGGACAUCCCCUCCAAGAGAAAUGCGGCAUUGAGUUAAGCCCUGGUCUGAACCUGAGGGCAGCCUGGAGGUCAAGGCAGAGGUCAUCUGUUCUGAAUCCUGACGCACCCACCAUGCCUGGAGUGGGAGCCUGGAAGAUUUUCUCUUUGCUCUUUGACGGUGUGGAGGGUGGGGACAGGUCUGGAGAGUACAUCUGCUAACCCCUCUUUGUGGAGAGACCAUUCUGCGUCUGCUGGGACCCCAGUCUCCCCCGCUCGUCUCUCCGGAGCUUGCUCCCCAGACUACCUUCUGGACCCCAGCUUUUAGAUCUUUAUGAUGGCGAUUCGGAAGACAUCCCCAGUCAUUCCAACUGGAGCUGCAACGACUGUUCUCUGGGUGACAUGAGCUGUAAGGUGGCUUCCUACACACUGAAGUCAGAGUCCAGAGGAAGUUCAUAUAGUAGACGCCCUGUCACAAAAAACCCACAUUCUUGUCAUAGAAGUGGCCAGCUGGGCCCGUGUCCCUGGAAGCCAAAGAUGAGGACACGUAGCCCGAGGACUCGAGGAUGGCGGAGGAGGACCAGACCCCCAGGGCCGCUGAGCCCUUCCUCACUCCCAUGGAGCCCCCUGAGACUGGCAGACACGUGCCAAGCAGAGCUCGAGGGGCAUGGCCACCACCUAGGUUCGGGAGAGAGAAAAGGGGCCCAGAAUCUCCUUCUCCAAGAGGAGGCUGGAGCUCUUCCUUGCAGAGCCUGAGAAAAGGAAGAGGAAGAAGCAGUAGGUGGCCUAAUCCAAG